UUUUCGCAAUGCCCGAAAGGGUGACGAAGCGACGCCGCGUGGGUGAGGAAGGCCUUCGGGUUGUAAAGCCCUGUCAGGAGUUAAGAAAUGUAGAUUCGCUAAUAUCGGGUCUAUUUGACAAAGGCUCCAAAGGAAGCCACGGCUAACUCUGUGCCAGCAGCCGCGGUAAUACAGAGGUGGCAAGCGUUGUUCGGAAUUAUUGGGCGUAAAGAGCACGUAGGUGGAUUUGUAAGUCAGAUGUGAAAGCCUUCUGUUCAACGGAAGAAUUGCAUCUGAAACUACAAACCUUGAGUGUAGGAGGGGAGAAUGGAACUUCUGGUGGAGCGGUGAAAUGCGUAGAUAUCAGAAGGAACGCCGGCGGCGAAAGCGAUUCUCUGGCCUAUUACUGACACUCAGUGUGCGAAAGCUAGGGGAGCAAACGGGAUUAGAUACCCCGGUAGUCCUAGCCGUAAACGAUGGGCACUAAGUAGAGGGGUUUUA
rnacentral:rRNA from 1 species